rnacentral:pre_miRNA from 1 species
CAUGCACUGGUGGGGUCCCUCGGCCUGGCCUGUGCCCUCUCGCAAUCCGGGACCCCUCAGGGGGUGUUGGAGAGCUGGUUUCAGCCCGAUCCCUGCAGGCCAGGCCGAGGGAUCCCACCGGUGCAUG